rnacentral:rRNA from 1 species
UUUAAAGUCUAACCUGCCCACUGAAAUUUUUUAAAUGGCCGCAGUAUUUUAACUGUGCAAAGGUAGCAUAAUCAUUAGUCUUUUAAUUGAAGGCUGGAAUGAAUGGUUGGACGAAAUAUUAACUGUUUCAUUUAAAUUUUUUAUAGAAUUUUAUUUUUUAGUGAAAAAGCUAAAAUUUAUUUAAAAGACGAGAAGACCCUAUAAAUCUUUAUAUUUUGAUUAUUUUAAUUAUAAAGAUUAUUUUUAUUAUAAUAAUUUAAAAUAUUUUAUUGGGGUGAUAUUAAAAUUUAAAAAACUUUUAAUUUAUAAAAACAAUAAUUUUUGAUUUUUUGAUCCAUUAAUAAUGAUUAAAAAUUUAAGUUACUUUAGGGAUAACAGCGUAAUUUUUUUGGAGAGUUCAUAUCGAUAAAAAAGAUUGCGACCUCGAUGUUGGAUUAAGAUAUAAUUUUGGGUGUAGCCGUUCAAAUUUUAAGUCUGUUCGACUUUUAAAUUCUUACUUGAUCUGAUUUCAAACCAAGAAUGAAAGUCCUACGUGAUCUGAGUUUCAAAACCGG